rnacentral:lncRNA from 1 species
UUUUCUUCUUUCUUUUUUUUUUUUUGUUUUUUUUUUUUUUUUUUUUUUGGGCUUGGCAGGACUGGGAUUCUUAUUCGGAUGGGCCUCGGGCUAUCACAACUUCUGCAUAGAAAUCCUGUAAGACCUUUGAAGAUUUUGAGUAAGAUAGCUACUCCUCUAGAAACAGAGAUUCUGAUGCUCAAAACAUGGCUUAGAUGCGAUUUUUUUUCCCCAAAAAAAAAAGCAUGGUGAGAUGAGUAUUUGUAGUCCUCACACUGAAGUAUUUAAUUGGCUCACAGGAAAUUGGUCCUUACAAUGUUACUAAGGACAUUCUGAAGAAUGUGCACUUGCU